GAGUUUGAUCCUGGCUCAGGAUGAACGCUGGCGGCGUGCCUAACACAUGCAAGUCGAACGAGCGAGAGAGAGUUUACUUUUUCGAGCGAGUGGCGAACGGGUGAGUAACGCGUGAGGAACCUGCCCUGGAGUGGGGGACAACAGUUGGAAACGACUGCUAAUACCGCAUAAGACCACGGUACCGCAUGGUACUGGGGGAAAAGGAUUUAUUCGCUUCAGGAUGGACUCGCGUCCAAUUAGCUAGUUGGUGAGGUAACGGCCCACCAAGGCGACGAUUGGUAGCCGGACUGAGAGGUUGAACGGCCACAUUGGGACUGAGACACGGCCCAGACUCCUACGGGAGGCAGCAGUGGGGGAUAUUGCACAAUGGGGGAAACCCUGAUGCAGCGACGCCGCGUGGAGGAAGAAGGUUUUCGGAUUGUAAACUCCUGUCGUUAGGGACGAUAAUGACGGUACCUAACAAGAAAGCACCGGCUAACUACGUGCCAGCCGCCGCGGUAAUAC
rnacentral:rRNA from 1 species